CUGAAACUGUUCGUGUCGGGUUACAAAGAUGAAUCAGAAGACAUAGGAAACCCGUAAAGUCGAGGAAAAAGGCCAUCCUAAAAGAAUAACAGGCCUUUGAACUCUGCAGGGAGAAGAGAGUGAUUUCGUGAACAUUCCAUUCUCCAAACUUGUCAUUUUCUAAAUGUUUUGACAUAACUCCGUGAGGAUGCAAUGCCUGUGGAUGAAUUAGGGAUCAAGGUUUGGAGAGAAAGCCUUGAAUGCAUCCUAAAAAUUGCCUCCUGUGGUUAAUGCUUACUACAGUUACCUAAUAAAGGCUGAGAUACGGGGGAAUGAUAACUCUACCAGGUCGCAAGAUAUCCAGAUGGUUCCAUUUGAAGCCUCAACUUCCUCUUCUGAAAUAUAAAAGUUUUUGUGAGAAUAAAAGGAACUUACA